rnacentral:misc_RNA from 1 species
GGAAGUAAAAGUCGUAGCAAGGUUUCCGUAGGUGAACCUGCGGAAGGAUCAUUAAAGAGAUCAUGCCCUCACGGGUAGACCUCCCACCCUUUGUUUACAAUACCUUUGUUGCUUUGGCGGGCCCGUUUGGCCCCGCGCUGAACAACCGGCCCCGGCUGGUCAGUGCCCGCCAGAGAACCGAAAACUCUGAAUUAAAUGUCGUCUGAGUACUAUGUAAUAGUUAAAACUUUCAACAACGGAUCUCUUGGUUCUG